rnacentral:rRNA from 1 species
GACGAACGCUGGCGGCGUGCUUAACACAUGCAAGUCGAACGGAAAGGCCUCUUUCGGGGGGUACUCGAGUGGCGAACGGGUGAGUAACACGUGAGUAACCUGCCCUUGACUUUGGGAUAACUUCAGGAAACUGGGGCUAAUACCGGACAGGAGCUCCUGCUGCAUGGAGGGGGUUGGAAAGUUUCGGCGGUUGGGGGUGGGCUGGCGGGUUAUCGGCUUGUUGGUGGGGUAGUGGCUUACCAAGGCCUUGACGGGUAGCCGGCCUGAGAGAGUGAUCGGCCACAUUGGGACUGAGGGACGGCCCAGGCACCUACGGGAGGCAGAAGUGGGGAAGAUUGAACAAGGGGUGGAGGCCUGAUGCAGCAGCGCUGUGGGCGGGAUGACGGUCUUCGGGUUGUAAAACGCUUUCGCUCAUGACGAAGCUUUGUGUGACGGUAGUGGGUAAGGAAGCACCGGCUAACUACGCG